AUGCAACAGAUGGACUCCUCAUAUGGUCAGCAAUUGAGACAUUGGUCCGAACCUAUGUCAAUUACUACUAUCCUGAUGCAAGUGCGGUUAAUUUUGAUACAGAACUGCAGGCCUGGUACAAUGAGUCAAUCAAUUUAGGCCAUGCUGAUCUUCGCCAUGCUAGCUGGUGGCCUAAACUCUCUACUCCAGAUGAUCUUACAUCCAUUCUCACCACCAUCAUUUGGGUCACAUCGGCACAGCAUGCUGCCUUGAACAAUGGGCAGUAUCCAUAUGGCGGGUAUGUCCCGACCCGCUCACCACACAUGCGGAGACUACUGCCAGAGGAGCAUGACCCAGAGUAUACUACUUUCAUGCAGGAUCCACAGAAAUACUUCCUAUCAUCAUUCCCCAGUUUACUCGAAGCAACAAAGUACAUGGCUGCAAUAGACAUCAUUUCAGCACACUCACCGGAUGAGGAGUAUAUUGGGGACAGAAAGGACUUGUCAACCUGGUCAGCUGACACAGUGAUUAUUGAGGCGUUCUACAGAUUUUCUAUGGAGAUGAGGAGGAUAGAAAAAGAGAUUGAACGAAGAAAUACUGAUUCAAACCUUAGGAACAGAUGUGGGGCUGGGGUUUCCCCAUACGAGUUGCUCAUGCCAAGCUCAGAACCUGGGGUUACAUGUAGAGGAGUGCCCAAUAGUAUAUCAAUCUGAGUCAAUUUGACACAAAAGUUGGCUAUGAGCCUAAAUCAACCGGAAUUUCUAAACUUGGCACUGAGCCUAGUGUCCUUUUUCCAUGAUACUCAGCCUAAAAAUGAAACCUAGUUGAGCUCAGUCAAACCCAAAACUCAGAAAUACUCAUCAAUCAGGAAGAAUUCAUCCCCCUAAACCUCAUCAAAAUCCGAAGUAUGUGCUCCUAUAGUAGCAUAAGUAGGCAAUUAGGAAAAGUGGUUGAUGAUUCAAAGCCAAUUAUGGUCCCACACCAAAAAUAUUGCGC
rnacentral:lncRNA from 1 species